GACGAACGCUGGCGGUGUGCUUAACACAUGCAAGUCGAACGGUAAGGCCCUUUCGGGGGUACACGAGUGGCGAACGGGUGAGUAACACGUGAGUAACCUGCCCUCAUCUCUGGGAUAACAGUCGGAAACGGUUGCUAAUACUGGAUAUGAGCCUGCAAAGCAUCUUGUGGGUUGGAAAGAUUUUUUGGUUGGGGAUGGACUCGCGGCCUAUCAGCUUGUUGGUGAGGUAGUGGCUCACCAAGGCUUCGACGGGUAGCCGGCCUGAGAGGGCGACCGGCCACAUUGGGACUGAGAUACGGCCCAAACUCCUACGGGAGGCAGCAGUGGGGAAUAUUGCACAAUGGACGGAAGUCUGAUGCAGCAACGCCGCGUGCGGGAUGACGGCCUUCGGGUUGUAAACCGCUUUCAAUUGUGACGAAGCUUUUUGUGACGGUAGCAGUAGAAGAAGCACCGGCUAACUACGUG
rnacentral:rRNA from 1 species